rnacentral:lncRNA from 1 species
AAUCGAAUUCAGGGGCUACAAAAUCUGCACCAAAAUACGUAUCACCUAGUGGGUGCGGCAAAAUAUCACCCAGUGGCAAGGCCAAGCGUUCACGGCACAAACAGAAGGAACAAACUUCCGAGAGAAGCAUCACAUGCGAACAAACUUUGCUCAGGUUUUCAUUUCAAUCUUAGAAGCAUAGCGAACAGAGCGGGGACGGAACAGUAACACGGAACGGUAGCAGCGUCACAUCUAACGGUAGCCUGAACAUCUCGGAACCUACGCGACGGAGCGAGAUCUAGGAUACUCGGGAGCGAGCGAGCGAUAACAUUUUGGUAGACAGGUAAAAACGGAUCGGGUAACUAGGAUAACUGGCCAGCGAGGGGCCCCACCAUUCACUCCCUCCAGUUGCCGCCGCCGGAGCCGCCGCGGCUGCCGCCGUAGCCGCCGCCGCCGCCGCCGUAGCCGCCGCCGCCCUCACGGCUGCCGUAGCCACCGCCGCCGCCGCUGCGGCCACCUCCGUAGCCACCGCCGCCGCCGCCGUAGCCGCCGCCGCCGCCCUCGCGGCGCUGGCCGCCGUAGCCGCCACCGCCUCCGCCGCUGAAGCCGCCGCCGCCUCCGCCGGAGCGGCGGGACUGGGCCUCGUUGACGGUGAUGUUGCGGCCGUCCAGGUCCUGGCCGUUCAUGGCCUCGAUCGCCUGGCGCAUCGCCUCGUCCGACGCGAAGGUGACGAACCCGAACCCGCGGGAACGGCCCGUCUCCCUGUCAGUGAUGAUCUGCACCGCCAAAACACACCAAACCGGUCAGAUCUCCACAAGCAAAAAACCACAGAUCCAUCUCGAAUUCACAGAUCUAUCGGGCGGAUCGGGGGAGGGGGACGGUACCUUGGAGUCGAUGACGUCGCCGUACUUGGAGAAGGCGUUCUGGAGGGACUGGUCGUCGGUGGCCCAGGCGAGGCCGCCGACGAAGCAGCGGUACUCGACGUCCGCCAUUCUUCCUCCUCUUCCCCACUACUAAACCCUAACGAACCGAACCGGGCCGGGAACCGA